rnacentral:lncRNA from 1 species
CAGGAUCACACCAGAGCUCCUUCACCAUCCUACCACGGCUCCCUGGAGCAGCUCAGUGCACCUGGGACCUGGGACACUCUACCCUGAUUAACUUAAUGCCCACUGAUUAGCAAGUUGGUUGCCAGUGUCCCAGCCCAUGACUCCCGCGGUGGAGAGGGAGUGUUAAAAGGUAUACAUCGCUGUGCACAAAGAUCUCUGGGCCCUACCUGCCAUAGUGUGUUUUUUGAUCCCAGACAAAUACCUCUGUCUCCCUCCCAUGAUUCCCAAGAGUCUCAUCCUACUGCCACAUCAUUUCCGUGUCCAAGAUCACUGUGCAAGAUGCCAUCAUGUAAACCACAGUCAUCACAGCUUCUCCCCAGCCGUGUGCAGUGGGAGUUGGGACUCUGGGGCACUACCCUAGCAGGCCUGUUACUAUGAGCAUGUAGCUAGGGCUUUAAAAAUGAAGUCAUUUUUGCCUGUGAUGUUCACAUCUUGGAAUAUUAGAUAAUUCCUGUUGUGCUGGGGCAGCCAAACAAACACCCAUCAUCUUCAUCUUCACAGGAUUACAUUUCCUGCUCCCUGCUCGCAGAGCUGUUCCUGAGAGUUGGAAUGGCACCGGCCCCAGCCUUGUCCAGACUCUCUGGGAGUGACCAAGCUGGUAGUGUGUGCUCCAAUCCAAGAUGAGGCUGCUGGAACUCCUGGGUCCCGAUGGAAAGUCCUGCCCUCCUCCCAGCACACAAGAGAAGGCCCGACUUUGCAGGUGUUUGGAAAUUGGGGUUAGGGUUAACUCUUUCCUCGCAUCAGUUUACACCUGCCUCCACCCAGAGGCGCACUGGACCUUGGUGGAAAACAAACAUUCAAGUAAGGCCACACAUGCAAGAAGAGCAGUGGCUUUGGAGUCUCACCCUUUCAGAGUCCGUACUUCAACUGUUUCCGGUUGUGUGGCCUUGGGCAAAUCUCUACCUCCCGAGGCCUCAGUCCUACCAGAUGUGAAAUGGAGAUGCCAUUAGUAUCUCGUGGAGAAUUAUCUAUGGAAAGCACUUUGCAAUUUCGCAGAACAGUUGCUUUAAUUUGCACAAAAUGAGCGUUACACAUUCGAGCAGAAAGUCGAGACAAUUCUGUUAACACUUCGGUGCCCCUUUAACCUCUCAUGUUGAUUAGAAUUGAUUGCAAGAUGGUUCUCCGUCCAAGUAAAAAGAGCAG